rnacentral:rRNA from 1 species
CAAAUACUCAAAAACCGGUACCCAGUUCGGACUGCAGGCUGCAACCCGCCUGCACGAAGCCGGAGUUGCUAGUAAUCGCGAAUCAGAAUGUCGCGGUGAAUGCGUUCCCGGGUCUUGUACACACCGCCCGUCACACCAUGGAAGUUGGGGGUGCCCAAAGCCAGCAAGCAAAUAUGCUGUCUAAGGCAAAACCAAUGACUGGGGUGAAGUCGUAACAAGGUACC